UACAGAGGCCUCGAGCGUUAGGCGGAAUCACUGGGCUUAAAGCGUGUGUAGGUGGAUGCCUAAGUACCUUGUGAAAUCCCACGGCUUAACCAUGGACUUGCUUGGUAUACUGGGUGUCUUGAGCCACUCAGGGGCUACUGGAACAAACGGUGGAGCGGUGAAAUGCGUAGAUAUCGUUUGGAACGCCAAUGGUGAAAACAGGGAGCUGGGGGUGUGCUGACACUGAGACACGAAAGCCAGGGGAGCAAACGGG
rnacentral:rRNA from 1 species